rnacentral:lncRNA from 1 species
AAGCCCGCCCGCCCGCUGCUGGAGCCGCGACCAUGGAGGAGUCUGGCAUGGCUCAUGAAUCAGCAGAGGACUUGUUUCAUUUCAACGUAGGGGGCUGGCAUUUCUCAGUUCCCAGAAGCAAACUCUCUCAGUUUCCAGACUCCCUGCUGUGGAAAGAGGCUUCAGCCUUGACCUCUUCAGAAAGCCAGAGGCUAUUUAUCGACAGAGAUGGUUCCACAUUUAGGCACGUGCACUAUUACCUCUACACCUCCAAACUCUCCUUCUCCAGUUGUGCAGAACUGAACUUGCUGUAUGAGCAAGCAUUGGGUUUGCAGCUGAUGCCUUUGCUGCAGGACUUUUGAGGGAGAAUGGGUCCCUGGGUAAGGGCGGCACGAAGACCGCCCUGGGCUUCAGGCUUGCCUAGUUGGGGUGCUCCACUCCAGCCUCAGCCCACCUCUGGUCGCCUGAUCCUUCAAGCUGACAAGCUCUGGACUUGGAAGACUGCUUGGGCGGGCCACAAAGCCUUUGACCUCAGCUGCCUCAUCAGUAAGACACUCACCAACCACAUCUGUCUCACAGAAUCAUGUCAUG